UACGGGGGGAGCAAGCGUUGUUCGGAUUUACUGGGCGUAAAGGGCGCGUAGGCGGUCAGCACAAGUCAGUUGUGAAAUCUCCGAGCUUAACUCGGAAAGGUCAACUGAUACUGUGCGACUAGAGUGCGGAAGGGGCAACUGGAAUUCUUGGUGUAGCGGUGAAAUGCGUAGAUAUCAAGAGGAACACCUGCGGCGAAGGCGGGUUGCUGGGCCGACACUGACGCUGAUGUGCGAAAGCUAGGGGAGCGAACCGG
rnacentral:rRNA from 1 species